CGGCGGACGGGUGAGUAACACGUGGAUAACCUACCUAUAAGACUGGGAUAACUUCGGGAAACCGGAGCUAAUACCGGAUAAUAUAUUGAACCGCAUGGUUCAAUAGUGAAAGACGGUUUUGCUGUCACUUAUAGAUGGAUCCGCGUCGCAUUAGCUAGUUGGUAAGGUAACGGCUUACCAAGGCAACGAUGCGUAGCCGACCUGAGAGGGUGAUCGGCCACACUGGAACUGAGACACGGUCCAGACUCCUACGGGAGGCAGCAGGG
rnacentral:rRNA from 1 species